rnacentral:snRNA from 1 species
CUCUUUGCGCAGUGGCAGUAUCGUAGCCAAUGAGGUUAAUCCGAGGCGCGUUUAUUGCUAAUUGAUAUAGCUCAUUGCAUGCAGGGUUCUGGUAGUUCUACUAUGCCACUAUCACUGCAUACCCACUAGCAGCACUUUGCAGGUACUGCACACCAGUAUAUACUGG